UGCCAGCCGCCGCGGUAAGACGGAGGGUGCUAGCGUUGUUCGGAAUCACUGGGCGUAAAGGGCGCGUAGGCGGCUUGGUCAGUCAGGUGUGAAAGCCCGGGGCUCAACCCCGGAACUGCAUUUGAUACUUCCAAGCUAGAGGUCGAAAGAGGAGAGUGGAAUACCCAGUGUAGAGGUGAAAUUCGUAGAUAUUGGGUGGAACACCAGUGGCGAAAGCGGCUCUCUGGUUCGAUUCUGACGCUGAGGCGCGAAAGCGUGGGGAUCAAACAGGAUUAGAUA
rnacentral:rRNA from 1 species